rnacentral:misc_RNA from 1 species
GAUGAAGAACGCAGCGAAAUGCGAUAAGUAAUGCGAAUUGCAGAAUUCCAGUGAGUCAUCGAAUCUUUGAACGCACAUUGCGCCCUUUGGUAUUCCGAAGGGCAUGCCUGUUCGAGCGUCAUUAUCACCCCUCAAGCCCUCGGCUUGGUGUUGGACGGUUUGGUGGAGGCCCCCUCGGGGGCUCCUGCCCCUCCCAAAGACAAUGACGGUGGCCUCGUUGGACCCCCGGUACACUGAGUUCUUCACGGGACACGUAUCGGACACAUGGGUUUACGGGACACGGUCUGCCUCCCCUCAGGGAGAAUCUUUCUAAGGUUGACCUCGGAUCAGGUAGGGAUACCCGCUGAACUUAAGCAUAUCAAUAAGCGGAGG